rnacentral:rRNA from 1 species
AGUGAACGCUGGCGGUAGGCCUAACACAUGCAAGUCGAACGGCAGCACAGUAAGAGCUUGCUCUUACGGGUGGCGAGUGGCGGACGGGUGAGGAAUACAUCGGAAUCUACUUUUUCGUGGGGGAUAACGUAGGGAAACUUACGCUAAUACCGCAUACGACCUACGGGUGAAAGCAGGGGAUCUUCGGACCUUGCGCGAUUGAAUGAGCCGAUGUCGGAUUAGCUAGUUGGCGGGGUAAAGGCCCACCAAGGCGACGAUCCGUAGCUGGUCUGAGAGGAUGAUCAGCCACACUGGAACUGAGACACGGUCCAGACUCCUGCGGGAGGCAGUAGUGGGGAAUAUUGGACAAUGGGCGCAAGCCUGAUCCAGCCAUACCGCGUGGGUGAAGAAGGCCUUCGGGUUGUAAAGCCCUUUUGUUGGGAAAGAAAAGCAGCAGGUUAAUACCCCGCUGUUCUGACGGUACCCAAAGAAUAAGCACCGGCUAACUUCGUG